GCAAUGGGUGUGGCUGAAAUAGCCAAAUACACUAAUUUGAAGGGGUGUCCAUAUACUUUUGUGCAUAUGUAGUAUACCAUUCUGACCUUGGGAGGCCCAGGUUGUAAGUUACAGCUCUAACACGAACACCAACACUAGUUUAAAAACACCAUUUAUUCCUAUCCUCACAUCACCUCAUUGUCUGACAUAGGUUCAUGCAUGCCAAUUCCUCCCUGCAAUAAGGCCCUCUUCACUAGCAUCUUAGUGUGAGACUGCAGUUGCUAUAGGGAAGGUGCGUCUUUCUACAUACCACGUCCUCUCUAUCACGGGGGCACGUGUGUAUCCAUGAAUCAUUAUUACUAAUGACUAUUUACCAUAGUCAAAAGCUUGCAUGCUCUUUCUGUCUAUGGGACACAGAAUAUUCAGCAAAGAGACCACAGGAUACAACUAAAACUGUAGGUUUCUUCCAUAUUAGAGACCUUUUGGUUGCUAAAUAAUUUGAUGACUCAAAUAAAACCAAUGCUUAAAAUCUGAGAGACCGACCAGACUCUGUAGAGCUUGUGAUCAAGGACAGUCAAAUCAAUUAUUCAUGUGGUUUUAUAUUUUGAAUGCUGGUUAGGGAAAGUUGUACAACUGAUUGCCUUCAACCGAGAUGUGUUUUCCACAUAUAACCCAACCCCUCUGAAUCAGAGGGGUGGGUUAACUGCCUUGCUCAGCAGCAGAACAACAGAUUUUUACCUUGUCAGCUCAGGGAUUCGAUCCAGCAACCUUUCAGUUACUGGCCAAAUUCUCUAACCACUAGGCUACCUGCCGCCCCUAGGUUACUUCCUGAUUGGUCCAGAUCCCAGACACAUAUAAACUCUAUUUCAACAAUUUCAACGUCACCAUCUGUGUUUACAGGUUCUUAAUUUUAAUUUACCACUGGAUAUAAGGGGAAGUGAAUAAUGCCACUGAAGGCUAUUUCGUCCCCUGUGCCUUCCCCCAGUCUGCUGCUUCUCCCAGCUGGAACCACAUUGCUUUCAUUUGUGCACCUCUUUGCUCCUCAAUUCAUGCACCUUGGUUGGAGAGCCAUGCAACUCUGAAUAGUUGACUGAACCACACUCGACUGUGUCCUCCCAGGGAUGAUCGUCGUGGGAGUGAUCAUCGGCUCCAAGAGGAUAGGCAUCAACUCAGACAAUGUGGCCACUCCCACCGCUGCCAGCUUCGGUGACCUCAUCACCCUGGCCUGCCUCCCCUUGAGAGGGGCAGUGAGAAAGAGAGAGAGUUUUAGGUCACUAGGGGGCAGUCUGGCCCAUUUACUGGAGAGUCAUAGCUACAUUUAUGGCUCUGACACUAGUCUGUCUGGCUAUCAACUGUGUUUAUUUAGCAAGUAUGUCUGCUCCUCUCUGUCUCCACAGAGUAUUAUCCCUAUGUGGCGUACCUGGGGUGUCUGAUCUGCCUCUGCCUGACCCAUCUGUGGGUGGUCGUCUCCUUCAGAAACCCAGACAGUUGCAUCCUACUCUACACAGGCUGGGAACCAAUCAUCACUGCCAUGGUCAUCAGCAGGUCUGCUACCCUGUUCCGUGCCCCUGAAGUCCAGUCACAGCAUUGGAAUCUUGUGAACUUCAUGGAAAUACUUAUUAUAAUUAUAAUUUGUUUCCUCUCUAGUAUCAGAGGAUACUAGAUCGGAACAUCGGAGCAUCCUGAACACAACUGUAUAAGACCCGAGCAUGGCGGGAAUGAUAGUCUACACGCCAGUUAUGAAUAGUUGUUGGGGGGAACUUGGUUGCCAACUGGUCCAGUCGUAUCACCACUGAUCUGCAGGCAGGUGCCUGAGGAUCGAAGGAGCUGCUACAACCCCUGCAGGACCUUUUGUGGCUCAGGUAAUGACACACACAUGACCAAUCCCUUUAACAUGCAUGUGAACACAAAAUUAAUUAAAUCUUCUGUUGUCAGUGUAUUUUACCUGUCAGUUUAACUAUCUAUACCUCUCUGACAAGAGCCAAUCAUCGCUCUGCCCAGGUGCUGCUCCUGUCUAUCACCUUCUUAGCUGCAGCUUUUCUACAGGUCUUCACUCUGCUGUGUCUUGCUGACCGGAUGGUCCAUUGCCUGUGGUGGACGGGCAAGGACCCAGACAGUUACUCCAUCCCCUACCUCACCGCUCUGGGGAUCUAUUGGGCACGGCCCCCCUCGCUCUGGCCUUCUUCCUGUUCUGGCUCAUAGGGGAGCAGGUUCCCACUGGAGACUGACACCCUGGGUGCUUCAUCUUAUACUAUUCUCCUUUGAUUCUGCCUGGGUAAAAGUAGGCACGAAACGUAGCAAUGCCUUCAAAUUAUGUAGGCAACUCCACACACAGUUGAGAAAUUCUAAACAUUCCCUUUACAAGUCAAAUGUUUAAUACAUUUAUUUGAAUUUAUUCAGACGAUUGCUUUGUGGUGUUGGUCCUUCUGUUGGUUGAAAUUUGAGACAAUAUCCACAGGAGAGUGUUAUUAAUCUGACUUCAUAAUGCGGUUCUCUGCCAUUAACAAUCAAGAUUUGUUUGCUCGUGCACAUGAUGAAAGUAACCGAAGUCUGCAGGUGUUUACAUGGUUUUUCACAUGUGCCAGGUUAUAUACAUUUAAACGGCAGUACAGGCGCUCUAAAAAGUCAGAUAAACAAUACUUUUUUGUGGAGAUUUUGUCUCUUUGUUUCGACUGGCUGAAGGACCAACUGCACAGACAACUGGUAAAGUGCAAAUACUGAACAAAAAUAUAAACGCAACAUACAAUGCAAAUGUAAAAGAUUUUACUGAGUUAGUUCAUAUAAGAUAAUA